rnacentral:rRNA from 3 species
UUCGCAAUGCCCGAAAGGGUGACGAAGCGACGCCGCGUGGGUGAGGAAGGCCUUCGGGUUGUAAAGCCCUGUCAGGAGUUAAGAAAUGUAAGUGUGCUAAUAUCGCAUUUACUUGACGAAGGCUCCAAAGGAAGUCACGGCUAACUCUGUGCCAGCAGCCGCGGUAAUACAGAGGUGGCAAGCGUUGUUCGGAAUUAUUGGGCGUAAAGAGCACGUAGGUGGGUUUGUAAGUCAGAUGUGAAAGCCUCCUGUUCAACGGGAGAAUUGCAUCUGAAACUACUGAUCUUGAGUAUAGGAGGGGAGAAUGGAACUUCUGGUGGAGCGGUGAAAUGCGUAGAUAUCAGAAGGAACGCCGGCGGCGAAAGCGAUUCUCUGGCCUAUUACUGACACUCAGUGUGCGAAAGCUAGGGGAGCAAACGGGAUUAGAUACCCCGGUAGUCCUAGCCGUAAACGAUGGGCACUAAGUAGAGGGGUUUU